rnacentral:lncRNA from 1 species
AUCCCAUACCAAAACAUUAUUCUUAGUCUUUUCAACAUUUCCCAGGCUUCCUAUUUUUCUCUUCCUAGCCUCUCAGAUCUCUAACUGAUUAACACCAUGGCAUCAACUAUAUCUGAAACAACCACCAACUCCACACCGGAAAACUACGUUACGAUCACUGAGAUGAUAUAUACUAGAGUACGUCUCGCUAGGAAAGCAGACCUCUACCAUAUAUACCAACUGUUUUACCAAAUCCAUGCAUACCAUAACAAUACUCAUCUGUACAAAGCGACUCAGUGUUCCUUAGAAAACUUGCUCUUCAAAGAAAAUCCUCUUCCACUCUAUUACGGGCCAUCUGUUCUUCUACUUGAAGUCUCCCCUACUCCUUUUACCGAAUCCAAGCAUACCACGAACGAAGGGUUCAAGCCCGUUCUUAAAACAUUCGACCUUAAAUUUCCGGUUGCGGAAGGAGAAGCAGAUGAGUUCAGGUCCAAAUAUGAUGAUG